GAUGAACGCUAGCGGCAGGCUUAAUACAUGCAAGUCGAGGGGUAGCAAGAUUGUAGCAAUACAAUUGUUGACGACCGGCAAGCGGGUGCGGAACACGUACACAACCUUCCUACAAGUGGGGAAUAGCCCAGAGAAAUUUGGAUUAAUACCCCGUAACAUAGCGAUGUGGCAUCACAUUGCUAUUAUAGCUUCGGCGCUUGUUGAUGGGUGUGCGGCUGAUUAGAUAGUUGGCGGGGUAACGGCCCACCAAGUCUACGAUCAGUAGCUGAUGUGAGAGCAUGAUCAGCCACACGGGAACUGAGACACGGGCCCGACUCCUACGGGAGGCAGCAGUAAGGAAUAUUGGACAAUGGACGCAAGUCUGAUCCAGCCAUGCCGCGUGAAGGAUUAAGGUCCUCUGGAUUGUAAACUUCUUUUAUAAGGGACGAAAAAAGGUCUUUCUAGAUCGUCUGACGGUACCUUAUGAAUAAGCACCGGCUAACUCCGUGCCAGCCGCCGCCGUAACAC
rnacentral:rRNA from 1 species